GGAACAACUACUUUCUGCUCUACAUUAAUCCAGGGCUUUGAAAAGCUUCCCUUUGAGUCAACCAACUCUUUAUCCAGCUGUGUAACUCACUCACCCUCAGUGAGCUUUUACUUGAAACCUACCUCCAGCCUCCUGCCCACAAACAUCCUGGGAGGUGGUUCUGUAUAAUAGAGCAUGAGCUCUGAAGACCAGUGUCUGAAGACAUUAAUUCUUGGAUAAAUAUCACUUGACAGCUGUGUAACAUUGGGCAAGAACCUAGUUCUAUGUCAGUUAAAUGACUGUAAAUGACAAUAGCAGUGUCUAUCUCAUAUUGCUGUCCCAUGGUGUAUGAGUUUUCCAUUGUUGCUAUAACAAAUCACUACAGAUUGAGUAGCUUAAAAUGACUCAGACAUAUUAUCUUACAGUUGUGUAGGUUAGAAGUCUGUCACAGGUCUCACUGGGCUAAAAAUCAAGGUGUCAGCAUGUCUGUGUUCCUUGCCUGAGACCCUGUGGGAGAAUUUCUUUGCCUUUUCCAGCUUCUGGAGGCCGCCCACAUUCCUUGGCUCAUGGCCCCCUUCGUCCAUCUUCAAAUCUAGUAGCAUCUCUCUGAUCAUUCUUCUGUGGUCACAUCCUCCUCUGACUCUGACUUAGGCUGGAAAAGAUGCUCAGUUUUUAAGGACCCAUAUGAUUAGAGUGGACCCAACCAUUUAAUCCAGGAUAAUCUUCCAUCUCAGGGUCCUUAACCUAAAUCACAUAUGCACUGUCCCCUUUGUCAUGUAAAAAUAACAUAUUCACAGGUUCCAGGGAUUAGAAUGUGAGCAUCAGUGGGACCCACUGCCUACCAAACUUAGGAAGGGCCCUGUAAGACACUGCUAAUGCCCACCUUCCUAUUAAUCUGGAAUCUUCAGAGCAAUGGAUUCCGGCUAUACACAUCCAUUGAGCUAAGAUAGUCUUCCAUUUCCUGCAGAGAGACCUAGAUUUUCAUUCUCUUUGUGGGAGGGGAUAAAGUUUGUCUUCAUUUUUUUAUGUCUCAGUUUCAAUUUUCAAAAGGUUAUUUUCCCCUCUUAAGAACUUAUCUUAGCUCAAGCACAGUGGCUUACACCUAUAAUCCCAGAGCUUUGAGAGGCUGAGGUGGGAAGAUCACUUGAGCCCAGGAGUUCGAGGCUGCAGUGAACUAUGAUAGCAAGCAAGAUGAGGAGAGCAGGGCAUGUGGCACAGGCCGGCUUUCUAUUUGACCAAUGUCUCCAGCUGGAGCAUUACUUUCCUGAUCGUUCCCUACCUAGAACUUCCCCCUUUUCUUCACCAGUCCUGAUACCUUUUAUUCCAAAGCUAGCUCCAAGUGUGCCCCUGCUCUGGGAAACCAGCCCUGCUUAGGCACUCCUCAGGCCAGGCCUGUUUCAACACCUGCCCAGAGCGAUUACUUCAACAUAAGCAGCAGUAUCUUCCCCGAAAUUCAAGUGAACAUGGAAGGAAGUCCAUUUACCACUUCUCCUUCUGAAACAGUUUUUGCUGGUUCCCUCUGAGACUUCUGACAGUUCCGACUCCUGGAAGAAGAAAGAUACACCAGGAAGACCGGCAGAGCAGGAGAUGCAUUUUGUGUCCAGUAUAAAACUAAUUGGCAAAAUGUCCACCGUCACAAGGUCCCUCCUCCAGCUUCUGCCUUUUUGUUGUGGUGACCCCAAGUGGCCACACUGUGUAAGUGCAAAAGAAUAAACAAAGCCCAGCUGGUCUGGGAGGAUUCCGGCUGUAAAACCCUGUGCAGGAAUCGGCUGUUCCAUAAAGAUCUGGACCCCACGGUGAAGAACAAUAGAAGGAAAUUUGAAAUUGAAGCCAAAUAAAAUCAGUUUUUUUCUAAAAUA